CUUGUCUCUCUCUCCCGCUCGUCCCUCUCACUCCCUCUCUCUCUCGCUAGGGUUUCUCUUGUUCGAAAAAAAUGCGAUCAUAUCGAUAACAAUAAUGUAGUUUUGGAUGCGCAUCAGGUCUACCUUGAGUUUGAUGGUGCUUCAAGAGGAAAUCCUGGAAGAGCUGGUGCAAUAGCAGCGCUUAAGUCUAAAGAUGGAGCUGUGGUAGUUAAUCAACAUUACUCGAGUAUUUGAAGGUUUGGGCAUAGGUAUGGACAACAAUGCUCAAUACAGAGCACUAAUCAGAGGAUUGAAGACUGCUCUUAAUAUGGGCUAUGACGGGACCUGUGUGAGGGGGCACUUGAAACUUGUCUGUAAGCAGGUAAAUGGUGAGGAGCACAUUAGAAGCAAUAGAUUGGCCAGGUAUUGUGAUGAAACAAGGCAACUCAGUGAUCAAUUCAAAUAAUUCAGCAUGAGAUAUUGUCCAAGGUUAUGAACAGUGGCUGCCUCUACAUUCAUAGUUUUUUUGGGUGCUCUUGCUUAUGUUAACAGCAACAGAAUUUUGAACUUUUAAGUUUUCUCUUGGUAAUGCGUUGAAAAUAAUUAGUUUUCCUCUUUAAUUUCCUCACUACUAGAAAACUACUGGAAACCAUAAAUUGUCUAUAAUUUUUUAUUAUAACUUUUGUUGCUAGUAUCUAAAA